rnacentral:rRNA from 1 species
GAUGAACGCUGGCGGCGUGCCUAAUACAUGCAAGUCGAGCGAACGGACGAGAAGCUUGCUUCUCUGAUGUUAGCGGCGGACGGGUGAGUAACACGUGGAUAACCUACCUAUAAGACUGGGAUAACUUCGGGAAACCGUAGCUAAUACCGGAUAAUAUUUUGAACCGCAUGGUUCAAAAGUGAAAGACGGUCUUGCUGUCACUUAUAGAUGGAUCCGCGCUGCAUUAGCUAGUUGGUAAGGUAACGGCUUACCAAGGCAACGAUGCAUAGCCGACCUGAGAGGGUGAUCGGCCACACUGGAACUGAGACACGGUCCAGACUCCUACGGGAGGCAGCAGUAGGGAAUCUUCCGCAAAGGGCGAAAGCCUGACGGAGCAACGACGCGUGAGUGAUGAAGGUCUUCGGAUCGUAAAACUCUGUUAUUAGGGAAGAACAUAUGUGUAAGUAACUGUGCACAUCUUGACGGUACCUAAUCAGAAAGCCACGGCUAACUACGUG